rnacentral:rRNA from 1 species
GGGGGGAGCGAGCGUUGUUCGGAAUUAUGGGGCGUAAAGGGGCGUGUAGGCGGACUCGGUAGUCAGGCGUGAAAACUCAUGGCUUAACCAUGAGCCUGCGUCUGAAACUCCUUGUCUUGAGUACAGAAGAGGAGAGUGGAAUUCCUGGUGUAGCGGUGAAAUGCGUAGAUAUCAGGAAGAACACCGGUGGCGAAGGCGACUCUCUGGUCUGAUACUGACGCUGAUGCGCGAAAGCGUGGGGAGCAAACAGGAUUAGAUACCCUGGUAGUCCACGCCGUAAACGAUGGGCACUAGGUGUUGGGGGUAUCGAUCCCCCCAGUGCCGAAGUUAACGCAUUAAGUGCCCCGCCUGGGGAGUACGAUCGCAAAGAUUG